GCUCUACACACUGCAGGUGUUCUGCAUCUGAUGUGCUCUUUGUAGUUAAUGGGGAUCAAUCCUUUCCCAUAAAUCUGAAGCAGUCCCACCUGGAGGCAAACAAACCAAGUGGAUAAAAGGAGGGUGUAAAGCGCCUGGGUAGUAAAUGUUUGUUUGAUUCAGAGAGUCCUUUUGUAAGGAAGUGGGUAUAGUAGUAUUGUGGAAAGAGUGGCAAUCUUAGCUAAGAUCAAGGAGAAGCUUUACAAGAGACAUAAGUAUAUUUGUACAGAGAUCUUUCUCAGAAGUGUUUGCAUUGCAAGUGACAUCUGGCUGACAGGAACUUGGAGAAAUGGGAUAAAGUGAAUGCUGCAGUUACCACAGCAUCAUAUUUAUCAAAAGGCUUAAGGAAACCAUGCUGCAUCCUAUGGCACGGUAUAUUUGGAACAUGAGCGAAGACUGUCUUCCA
rnacentral:lncRNA from 1 species